AGGCGUUGGAGCUGGAGCUGGAAGCACUGGAGUCCCAGAUUCGCUCCCUCGAGACGAAGCGAGCGCGGCUCCGGGAACAACGGGCUUUGCUCGUACCCAAUACUCGCUCGUCUGGGGCCCAGCGCACCUAGGGCGCGGCUCUCCCAGACGUCGUUCACGCCGACACCCAGCCACCCAGCUACCACCCAGCUAUCAUCAGUGACUCCAUCGUGUGCCACGUCCGCUCCACUUCCUCCAAAGGUAACAAAGUACGCACUUUCUGCUUCCCUGGUGCCCGAGUUAAGAAUAUUUCUGCACUAUCCUGAGCGCUGCCGAGAGCCUCUGUGCCGUCGUCCUCCACGUGGGGACAAACGACACCGGGCCCCGGCAGACGGAGAUCCUGAAGAAGGACUUCAGGAGCCUGAUCGAGAUGGUUCGACGCACCUCGCCCGCCACGCAGAUCAUUUCUGGACUGCUUCCUACCUACCGCCGAGGAAAUGAAAGGUUCAGUAGACUUUUUGCUCUGAAUGAAUGGCUAUUAACAUGGUGUAAAGAACAGAAAUUGCUCUUUGCCAAUAACUGGAAUCUUUUCUGGGAGCGUCCUAGGCUUUUCCGCACUGACGGGCUGCAUCUCCAGAAUACUUCGCUCUAUCUGACCACAGCUGUGAGAAAGUUUCGUGAGUCUUUCGAAGAACACGACAAGUCAACUGAGUGAUGAAACUCGCUGAAACUCUCAGGUAAAAUUAUAAAACAGCAUGGGCGUCGCUUUAGCCAUCCUAUAUUUCUAUUCAGCCCCCCAUAAAAAUUUUGCGAUUAGCUCAUAAACUGUACACUACUAUAUUAUCGCCUCAGUCCCCUUUAAUCUUGAUAAUAAAUCGCCUUCCGCCGCUCCGUUUUCAGCUAGUUUUACAUUUAAUCAGCAAACCACAGCUGUGCAGUGCGAGAGCACAAGGUGUGUGUGUUUAUCGAAAGAUUGUUAUAAUAUACAGAAACACUUGUAUCACUUGUACCCCAAUGAGUCAUGGAGGAGCCUUCGGGUUUCCCCAUACUAUUUCCUCGGCGCUCCCCUCAUUAUCACAGCGCUUUCCUCCAGCGAAAAUGCAGCUCUUAACGAACAUUUCGCUAUGUUUAUUUCAAAAUUAACUAUGAAAAUAAAACACAUUACAGUGCAUGUGGCAUUAACUAUAGCAUACAUUCAUGCACCGGAUUAAACACAGUGACAGAACCGCUCAGUGAAUGUACUGCAUAACUGCAUAUCAGAGUGACAGAGUGAAACAUCGCGUGUUGUAUCUUAUUUAUUUUUCCUAUUAUGACUUAUAUUAUGAUAGUGAAAUAUAUAAAAUAGCCUGUACAUUUUAAUGUUCAUAUUUAUGCUAUUUUGAAUUAAAGUGGCCGUUUUAUUUAUUUAAUAUAUGGAAAAAUUUAUUAAAUAUAGGAAAUGAUUUGUACCACAGUAAACGGGUAUGUUGAGCCUAUUUGGCUCAUUCAGAACUUAAAUGGCUUUGCCUGUCUAUGAAAUACAGUGGAAUACUGCUAGUUUAGUAUACAACCCUACCAUAUUAGUCAAACAUUUUUAAGUGUAUUAUUUUAAAUUCUUACUUAAACGCUUAACAAUAUGGAAUUUAAAAGGGAAACUAAUAGUAGAUAAUAUCGACAGCAGAAGACAGACUCCUAAUAGCUUGGUUUAAAACAACAAGCAUGCACAAAUGUGAAAAUCAAACACAAUGGCCAAUUGAUGUUUAAAGGAACCUAUUAAAUGUAAAGUAAUAAGCCAGUAAAGAAAGUAAGUUUCUAUAUUAAAAGGAUUAAAUAAGCUAUACAUACUGCAGCUUAUUUCAAUUUAAAGAA